rnacentral:rRNA from 1 species
UAAACUAGGAUUAGAUACCCUAUUAUAUUUAAAUAUAUAAAGUAGUAGUAAAAUAACAAAACUAAUUUAAUUUGGCGGCAUUUUAUCUUUUUAGAGGAAUUUGUCUAUUAAUCGAUAAUCCACGUUAAUUCUCACUUCAAUUUAAAAUUUAUAUACCGCCAUCUUAAGAAUUAAUUAAAAAAAUCUUUCUCUCAAUAAUUAAUAAAAAGGUGGGGCGAGGUGUAAUCCCUAUUAAAGAUUAGAUGAAUUACAUUAAAAAAUAUUUAAAGCUUAUCUAUACACUUAUAAAUAUAAAUAAGAAUUUAAAAGUAAUAUAUAACAACAAUAA